GCCAGAAUGGUUUAGUGGUUUGAGUGCUGGACUAGGACCCCAGGAGACCAGGGUUUGAAUCCCCACUCAGCCA